rnacentral:lncRNA from 1 species
AUAAUAAAAGCAAAGGGGUUGUGUUAAGUGUUCUUGUAUUCAUCAGGCAGCAGGAUGAUCUCUUGUGGAGUAAAAUGUCAGGUGUUUUUUUUUUUAAGAAAUCGAUUUUUAGUUGUGACGUCAUUUGGCAGGCUGUCCACGGUAUCACUUUCUGCUUAUUUUUAAAAGGUCUGAUUUAAGCCGACGCUGUUCUACCCUGCCACUCCUAGCCAUAAAUUGGUACUGUGUGUAAGUUUUGCUUUUUGUUUGAUCUGAAGCAGCUUUUGUUUCUUUCCCUCAGAAGCGAUGUCCCCGUUAACUUUUGUUCAGUAAAGAGACAGUGUAAGAAAAGGUGGAACUGUGUUGCUGAUAACUUAUCAGGUCUUUUAUACCCUUUUGUGUCUUUUUAAGUUUGCUUCUGAUCCCUGAGUUUACCUUAUGUCAGGCAUGUGGAAGUAUAAGCACAGUUCAAAUAUGUUAUUGGAUAAGCGUGUAAUUGAAUAAGGAGUUGUAACCUAAAGUUAGAAAAAUCUAACUCAUAAAGAGUAUGGGAAUUCCUCCUUGUCUAUCAAAACAAGUUGGUUAAGUCAGAGGCAAGACGAAAGGCCCAGGUUUACAUUACAUGUAAAUUGUAUGUGCUUUUGCUAGUUUUCCUGCCACUUAGGUGGCUUACUUAACAUGCUUCAGUUAACUCACCUUUAAAAUGGGAGCAAUAAUAGUUAUCACGGGGUUGUUGUGUUCUUACAUUUGGACAUAUAGUUAGCUGUAACUAUAAGUUAUUUUUGUUAUGCAUCCCAAAAACUUGGUUUCUGUCCCCACCCCCCGCCCACCAACUUUUUCUUACAUAUCAAAACCUUAUAAUAAAAUCCAUGGAGACAUAGCAAUUUUGAACAGAAAGAACCUUUGAGAUUAUUUGGUCUGCUUCCCACAUUUUAACUGCCGUACGAAGAGGAGACAUGAACAGUUCUCAGUCUUUGGAGCCAGACAGAUUUGGGUCAGGUUCAAAUCCUUGGCACUCUACUAAGAUGUUUUAUAUAAAGUACAGCUUGUAAGGGCACCAGGCCUCCUGGAGUCAGACAUCAUGGGCUUGAAUCCUAGCUAUUCUUAUUUGUGAGCUGUGUGAUGUUGCGAUAAUUACUAAGCCUUUCUGUAUUCCAUCUCAUGGUGUUUAUGUAAUGAUGGAAACUAUAUGUAAAGCACUAAACAUAUAUAAACAUAAACAUAUAAAGUCUGUCAUCUUUGUCAAAUUCCUCUUUGCCCUCUGUUUCCUCGACUGUAAAAUGGAAGUAAUACCUAUUUUUGCUAGGAUUUUGGAAGGAUUAGAUAUAAAUAAAACAUGGUAUGGUGGUAUUUGAUAAAUUGUAGUAAUAGAAGUAAUAUCAUUCAGUGAAAGUCAGUACAAACUUUAAUCUUGUACUGCUGUGGAUGUGUUGUGUAGUCAUGGUGUAGCCCCCUUUUAUUUAAUCGAUUUGCCUUAAUUAUUCAGCACAACAGUUAUAAUAGAAUGAUCAUCUAAAAAUAGGAAUGCAUGGGGAAAUCACGCAGGGAGCAGAGACUUAUAAAAAGGCGCUGUUGUGUGAGGUUAUGAGGCCCAGAACCAUUACAACAACCUUACUAUCAUCCUGAAAAGGAAAUGACACAUGGAAGUGGAUAGAACUAAGAAAAUUAAGUUGGAGCCUAGGGCUGAAGUCAGUCUUGAGACCCACCCUACCUCUAGAUUUAAGUUAUGCCAGCCAUACAUUUCCUCACCACUUAAGCCAACUUGAAUUGGGGUUUCUGUUACUUGCUACCCAAAGCAAGUAACCUCCUCAGGAAGGUCUUUCAUGACCAUAUUACCUAAAGCACCUCCUGGUUCACUCUCUGUUGUUAUCCACUGAUUUCCUUCACAACAUGUACCACACUCUAUACUACAACAUAUAGCUGCAGUGAUCUUGGGGUGUGUGUGUGUGUGUGUGUGUGUGUGUGUGUUAGGUACUUCCCUUCUUUGAUUGUCUGACCCAGAGGGCAGUGAUUGUUUUUCUUCUUUAUAGUGCAUUAUAGAUGCUCAAUCAAUAUUUGUUGAAUAGUUGAAUGAAAAAACAAACUU